rnacentral:rRNA from 1 species
ACUCCUACGGGAGGCAGCAGUCGGGAAUUUUGGGCAAUGGGCGAAAGCCUGACCCAGCAACGCCGCGUGAAGGAUGAAAUCCCUCGGGAUGUAAACUUCGCAAGAACGGGAAGAAUAAGUAGGGGACAAUACCCCCUAUGAUGACGGUACCGUUUGUAAGCUCCGGCUAACUCCGUGCCAGCAGCCGCGGUAAUACGGGGGGAGCAAGCGUUGUUCGGAUUUACUGGGCGUAAAGGGCGCGUAGGCGGCCAGCGCAAGUCAGUUGUGAAAUCUCCGAGCUUAACCCGGAAAGGUCAACUGAUACUGCGCGGCUAGAGUGCGGAAGGGGCAACUGGAAUUCUUGGUGUAGCGGUGAAAUGCGUAGAGAUC